CACCAGCAAUGUCCAGAGAAUGGCAGGAAGCCAAAGUUCCCCCAGAGCCUGCAUGGCCAGCAGAGGGUCCACACGACAGUUCCCGUCUCCACAACUCUUCCAGUGCAAGCCAGCCAUAAGGUCCAUCCCCACAAUCUGAAUCCAGAGCUAAAUCAACGAAAGAAGUAGCUUGCUGUACAAGUAGCGCUAUUCCAUCUAGAAGCUCCUGCAAUGGCUGCCUUUGUCCAUAAGAAAGCAAACUGUUUUCGCUAAAUGAACUAUGGGGCAAGGAUGAGCCUGCUUCAAUGUUUGGCGAGCUAGCAGGUUUUGCUGUUUUUGGGACUGAAACAGUCCGCCACACGCCAACUGGUGCACUCAUGUGGCUGGCUAACAUUCCUCCAUCGAAAUCUCCAGCUAUUCUAGUAGGUACUUCUUUCUUAUAUAUCUCGUUCCUUCCAGAUACGUUGUCUGUCAGACUACUUGGCUCAUUUGGCACCUGGUUCAGGAAGAAGUUUCCACUAAGCCUACUCAGACUAACAGGAGAACUGUGCUUCGAAGAAAUGGCUUUGUGCCGCAUCCUAUACAUGGCCUGCAUGGCCAGCAGAGGGUCCACACGACAGUUCCCGUCUCCACAACUCUUCCAGUGCAAGCCAGCCAUAAGGUCCAUCCCCACAAUCUGAAUCCAGAGCUAAAUCAACGAAAGAAGUAGCUUGCUGUACAAGUAGCGCUAUUCCAUCUAGAAGCUCCUGCAAUGGCUGCCUUUGUCCAUAAGAAA
rnacentral:lncRNA from 1 species